rnacentral:rRNA from 1 species
UCCCCCAGUAAGGGCGACUGAAGCGGGAAGAGCUCACCGUGUGAAUCUGCGCUUGUUGCAAGCGCCGAAUUGUGGUCUGUAGAAGCAUGUGUUUGGCACGCCGGGUCAAGUCCCUUGGAAAAGGGCAGCUGAGAGGGUGAGACUCCCGUAAUUACCUGGCACGCGGCCAUUUGACACUAGCUUUCGGCGAGUCGAGUUGUUUGGGAUUGCAGCUCAAAUUGGGUGGUAAAUUCCAUCUAAAGCUAAAUAUGGGUGGGAAACCGAUAGCGUACAAGUACCGUGAGGGAAAGAUGCAAAGAACUUUGAAAAGAGAGUUAAAGAGUACCUGAAAUUGCUGAAAGGGAAGCGAAGGAAACCAGUGUUGUGCUCUGUCAUACUUCCCCUUCCGCUUGCGGGUGGGGCGCUGUGGCAUGGCAAUC